GUUCGGUUCUACCGGCGCUGCCGGCUUCCGAGCGCUGCGCGGCAGAGAGGCAUACUGAGACUGGGCUAACACCGGCGUCACAGCUGACAUCCUGUGUUAGCAGUGCCUUCACCGAGCUCCCUCCUAUACAAUUAGAGAUGUGAGUUUCUUCAAGCUACAGAUGACAUUUGGCUGGAAAUCACAGGGCAAUCCAGACUCUGACAAUAGGGAAAAAUUACAAAGCAAAGAGGACAAAGUUUCUUCCAUAAAGGGGGCGUCAUGGAUAACAACGUAAGGCAAGCUUAUGAAGAGUGCUCACCAGAGAAGGACAUCAUGAGAGGCGAACAAAGCAAGGGAUUACUUCAUGAAAUUAUGAGGGAAAACAGCAAGCUAGACGAGGAG
rnacentral:lncRNA from 1 species